rfam:Rattus norvegicus chromosome 4, whole genome shotgun sequence.
GGGGAUUUAGCUCAGUGGUAGAGCGCUUGCCUAGCAAGCGCAAGGCCCUGGGUUCGGUUCCCAGCUCCG